rnacentral:rRNA from 1 species
CGACGUGGGUAACCUGCCAUAUACAGGGGGAUAACACUUAGAAAUAGGUGCUAAUACCGCAUAAGCGCACAGCUUCGCAUGAAGCAGUGUGGAAAACAAAAAGCUAAAGCUUUUGGUGGUAUACGAUGGAUCCGCGUCUGAUUAGCUAGUUGGCGGGGUAAAGGCCCACCAAGGCGACGAUCAGUAGCCGGCCUGAGAGGGUGAACGGCCACAUUGGGACUGAGACACGGCCCAAACUCCUACGGGAGGCAGCAG